CUUCAUGGUAGUACAUUUCCAAAAUAAUGCUUUUCAAGCACUGAAAUGUUAAACAAUGAAAUACAUUUUAUUUAUUUUUUAUUGGGUAUUCCUUGCUGUGCAUGGACUUUUCUCUAGUUGCGGCGAGCAGCGGCUGCUGUCUAGCUGCAGUGCUCAGGCGUCAGGAGCUGCAGCACGUGGGCUCAGUAGUUGUGGUGCAACCUGGCUUAGCUGCUCUGUGGCAAGCGGAAUUUUCCCAGACCAGGAAUUGAACUCAUGUCCCCUGGAUUGACAGGCGGAUUCUUAUCCACUGAGCCACCAGGGAAGUCCUGAAAUACAUUUUUUUUAAAACAACUUUAUUGACAUAAUUGACACAUGAUAAACUGCAUAUAUUUAAGACAUGUGACUUGAUCCAUUUUUGUUUGUUAUUUUUGUUUUUCUUUUUUUAUUCUGAUGACUUGAUCCACUUUGACAUUUGUGAAUACCCUGGAAUCAUCACCACAAUCCGGGUAAUGAACACAUCUGUCACUCCCCGAAGUCUCCUCCGCCCCGCCCCUCUUCCCUCAACCACCACGUUUGUCUACUUUCCAAAUACAUAUUUAAUGCAGAGCUGUCUCACCCGCUUCCCCACCUCAGUAAACAGUGUGAUCGACGUGAUGGUUCCUCUCCUCAAUUCAGCAUUAUCAUUAACGUUCUUGAGAGCCGUGUCCUCAGAUGUUGGGGAGAUACAUAAGAUUGUUUGCCCUGCACACUAAAUGGCCCCAUUGUUGCCCUUCCUUGCCAGGUGGUUUGGGGUUUGGGAGUUUUCUCUCUUGCUGCCAGCUGUCUCGUUGCAGUUCCUGGUACACAGCCCAUGCCGCCCGGAACCCUGGCUCACCGACACUCUCCCGAGUCACUCCCACUCCUCACUCUGAACCGGUGGUUCUCAGCCAGGAGCAGUUUUGUACCCCCCUAAGGAGACAUUUGACAAUGUCUCAAGACAUUUUAUGGAGAAGGAAAUGGCAACCCUCUCCAGUAUUCUUGCCUGGAGAAUUCCAUGGAUAGAGGAGGCUGGCGGGCUCCAUAGGGGACAGUUAAGUCCAUGGGGUCACAAAGAGUCGGACAUGACUGAGCGACUAUACACACAGGAGACAUUUUUGAUUGUCAUAAUGUUGCAGGAAGGGGGGCCCAUUCCAGGGCCUGAGAGAGGGUUCCUGUCUAACACUUGGAAAUGAAUUGUCCAAGGAGACAUAGGAGCUGACAAAGCAAGAGGCUAUAUUGGGAAGAGGUGGCCAGGUGGAGAGCAGGAGCAGUGACGGAAGCCAGGGGAACUGCUCUGUCGCGUGGCUCACAGUCUCAGGUUUUAUGGUGAUGGGAUUAGUUUCCGGGUUGUCUCCGGCCAGUCACUGACUCAGGGUCCUUCCUGGUCGCACAUGCUUUGCUCAGCCAAGGUGGACGCCAGCAAGGAGGAUUCUGGGAGAUGGAAGGACGUGCGGCAUCUCCUCUGGCCCUUUCCCGAACUCUUCUUGUUGGUGGUGGCUUAUUAGUUCUGUGUUCCUUAGUAGGCCCUCCUGUUAUAAAAUAACUCAGGCAAAUGGUUACUAUGGUGUCUGGCCAGGGUGGGCAUCUCAGUUGGUGUGCUUCCCCUGACAAUAAUGGGGGUGGGGGUGCUACUAGCCCCUAGUGUUCAGAGACCAGGGAUGUUGCUAAACAUGCACAGGACAGUUUCCCAAACAAGAAUAAUCUGGCUCAAGAUGUCAAAUCCUGUCCCGAUAAUAGAACUGAUAGGAAAAUUCAACAAGAAGUCAU
ensembl:lncRNA